UACAGAGGUCCCGAGCGUUGUUCGGAUUCACUGGGCGUAAAGGGUGUGUAGGAGGUCUGGUAAGUCGGAUGUGAAAUUUCACCGCCUAACGGUGAAACUGCAUUCGAUACUGCCGGGCUUGAGGAUCGGAGAGGAGAGCGGAAUUCCUGGUGUAGCAGUGAAAUGCGCGGAUAUCAGGAGGAACACCUGUGGCGAAAGCGGCUCUCUGGAAGAUUCCUGACUCUGAAACACGAAAGCCAGGGGAGCAAACGGG
rnacentral:rRNA from 1 species